ACUCAAAUGAAUUGACGGGGGCCCGCACAAGCGGUGGAGCAUGUGGUUUAAUUCGAUGCAACGCGAAGAACCUUACCUACCCUUGACAUCCUGCGAAGGCCGGAGAGAUCUGGCCGUGCCGAAAGGAGCGCAGAGACAGGUGCUGCAUGGCUGUCGUCAGCUCGUGUUGUGAGAUGUUGGGUUAAGUCCCGUAACGAGCGCAACCCUUGUCCUUAGUUGCCAUCAUUUAGUUGGGGACUCUAAGGAGACUGCCGGUGAGGAACCGGAGGAAGGCGGGGACGACGUCAAGUCAUCAUGGCCUUUAUGGGUAGGGCCACACACGUGCUACAAUGGGGCGUACAGAGGGCCGCGAACCCGCGAGGGGGAGCCAAUCUCAGAAAGCGCCUCGUAGUCCGGAUUGGGGCCUGCAACUCGGCCCCAUGAAGUUGGAAUCGCUAGUAAUCGCGGAUCAGCUACGCCGCGGUGAAUACGUUCCCGGGCCUUGUACACACCGCCCGU
rnacentral:rRNA from 1 species